rnacentral:lncRNA from 1 species
GUCGGCGCGCAGGACGUUCACGCCCGCACCUUUCCGGCCUGUGGCGGUUUCAGCCCCAGACCGUCUGCCUCCGGAGGAUUUCUGGCCAUCCAAGAACAAACUUCCGAAUCUCCAAAUUUCCAAGCCUUGGAAAUGGGAAAACAAACCGAGAUCUCUCCUUCCCCAACCUUUGAGAGAACCGAAGUAACUCCCAACCCUCCCACCUCCUGGGACCGGCCAGGAACAUUUAUAAGUAAUGACUGUGUCACCUAGGAACACAAAUUAGGCGCCUGUGCUUCCCCUGGGGACGAGCUGUGAGCACUUGGCGUGUCGUCGUUGAGAAGUGAUUUGCAUGCUUAAUUCCCCAGCAGACUCUUUGCUUCGAAGGUGACCCCAGCGACUAGUAAAUGUUCUCUGUGAACUAGAGGGAGGCUAGUACCGAGCACUUAAAAGGGGGGCAUUUAUAAAGCUCUUAAGGGCCAGGCUCGGUGGCUCACGCCUAUAAACCCAGCACUUCGGGAGGCCAAGGGUAGGAGGAUAGCUUGAGGUCAGGAGUUCGAGACCAGCCUGGCCAACAUGGCGAAACCCCGUCUCUACUAAAAAUACAAAAAUUAGCCAGGCGUGGUGGCGCACGCUUGUAAUCCCAGCUACUCGGGAGGUUAAAGCAGGAGAAUCAGGAGGCAGAGGUUGCAGUGAGCCAAGAUCGCGUCAUUGUGGGCUACAAGAGCGAAACUCCGUCUCAAAAUAAAUAAAUAAAGACUGGGCGUGGUGGCUCACACCUGUAACCCAGCACUUUGGAAGGCCGAGGCGGAUGGAUCACCUGAGGUCAUGAGUUUGAGACCAGGCUGGCCAAUAUGGCGAAACCCUGUCUCUACUAAAAAUACAAAAAAUUUAGCUGGGCGCCUGUAAUCCCAGCUACUCCGGAGGCUGAGGCAGGAGAAUCACUUGAGCCCAGGAGACGGAGGUUGCAGUGAGCCGAGAUCACGCCAUUGCACUCCAGCCUGGGUGACAAGAGCAAAACUCCUUCUCCAAAAUAAAUAAAUAAAUAAACAAGAGCGAAACUCCUUCUCUAAAUAAAUAAAUAAAUAAAAUAAAAAAGAAAGCGCUUACACUGGCCCCAUCCGCACCUCUAUCUGCACCAACACUAAAGAUUUAUGUAGCACCCGCCUUCUACCUACCCUACUGCUGCAGUUUCUAGGCAUUCCCCUUUGUACCUAGGCUGAUGAAGGGCCUAUUUUUCCAAAAGAGCACUUACUGGGCGCUUACUGCACUACAUGCUUAGCUGUGACGUGGAAGGGAGAAGGAAGCCCAGGUCAAACUGGACGCCACCCUGACCUGGGCAGCCAACUGAAACAGAUUUUAAUCAGAUUAACAAUGGCCUGUAUGGAGCUGGGCAAGUCAUGUUCACUCACCCGUCUCCAUUGUCCUUUUCUGUUAAACAAAAGAGUGGGCUUGGCAGGUUUUUGCUGGGAAACACCAAUGGUAAUUGAAGAGAAAUGUAUAUUUUCUCUCUAUUUUAACAUGAAGUUAAAUGGAGUUCUAGCUCAUAAAUUAGUAUUCAUGUAUUACAAACAAAAAACAUUUAAUACGGUAAGAAUAUGUAUAUAUAAGGAAUAAUAGCUUAGACCAGAUGCACAAAUAUCAAUUCUUUUCCUUAACAGCAGAAUACAGGACAUACAUUUUAUGAAUUAAAUUUCAUUUUAAUUUUUUUCUCAGUUGUCAAACCCACUCAAGUUGAGUCAACAAUGACCCACAGCACCUACCAGAAAUACUUCCCUCAAUUGCAAGACUUGGCAUUUAAAACUGGAAGAUUCUUACCACAUGUGCUCCUGGGCUUUGCGGACUUGAUUGUUUCCAUCUAGGCUUUUGACCUGUGUCACAAAGAAGUAGGAUCUAGGUUUUAGGAUAUAUAACGAACAUCUACAAAUCCGAAGAGGACAAACAAUACACUUGGCAAUAGACAUUGGGUACAAAUAGGUAAUUCACAGCAGAAGAAACCUAAAAUGGUCAAUAUGUAUAAUAUAUGAAAAGAUAACCCAAUCUCUUUACUGCUCAGGGAAAUGUAAAAUUAAAACAACAGUGAGAUAUAAUACCAUUUUACAUCUACCAGAUGUUGUGCUUCAUAUUUUUAUCACUGGAGCUUAGUAGAGGGUGGACACUCAAUAAAUGUCUGUGGUCAUUCUAGGUUGUGGUUUCUGGGGUGUUUUAGAUGAGCUCUCCAUAAUUAAAGAGAUACAAAUUAAAAACAAUGAUAUACUAUUUUUCACUUAUGGGACUGACAAAAAUGCCAAGCCUUAUAAUGAUAACAUAUUUGCUCUCUCUCUGUCUCUGUCCGUUUCUUUCUCCCCAUGUAUAUACAUAUGUAAUUUACAUAUAUAUAAUUUUUCUGAAUGAUAUACAGUGAUUUUUCUGAAUUAUUUGUUAGUGGUUGCGGAUAUGACACCCUUUUAACUAAAUACUUCAGUAUGAAUAUCCUAAGAGCAAGGACUUUUUUUUCUUUUUUUACAUUGCUACCAGCAUAGUAUGAGGUUUCCAUUGCUCCACAUCCUCACAAAUACUUGUUAUCUGACUUUUUGGUUCUAGCCACCCUGGUGGGCAUGUCAAUAGUGUCCUUGUAUAGGAAAAGGGAAUCAUAGGGUCACAAGAUACAUUCUGUUAUCAGGUUUUUUUAGUCUCCUCCAAUGUGGAACAAUGUCUCCAUCUUCACUUAACUUUCAUGAUCUUGAUGUUUUGGGAGAGCACAGACCAGUUCUUUGGAAGAAUGUCCUUCAAUUUGGGUUUAUCUGAUGUCUCCUCAUGAUUAGAUUUGAAUUCUGCAUUUUUGGCAGGAAUUCCACAGAAGUGACGCUGUGUUCUCAGCGUUAUCAGGAGGCAGGAGGGUUCAGUUAGUCUCGAAAUUGUUAGUAUUAGCAUUGAUCUUUUGCUUAAAGUGGUCUUCUAGUUUUCACCAGUAUAAAUUUACUAUUUUUCCCUUUGUAAUUUUUUUUCUUUUUUUUUGGAGACAGGGUCUUGCCCUAUUACGCAAGCUUGAGGGCAUUGACACAAUCAUGGUUCACUGCAUCUUUGAACUCCUGGGCUCAUGUAAUCUUCAAGGACUACAGGUGUGAGUCACCAUGCCCGGCUAAUUUUUAAAUUUUUUGUAGAAACAGUCUCACUAUGUUGCCCAGGCUGGUCUCGGAUUCCUGGGCUUAAGCAAUCCUCCUGCAUUGGCCUCCCAAAGUGCUGGGAUUACAGGCAUGAUCCCCUUUUGUAAUUAAUAAGUAGCUUUUCGGGAGAUACUUUGAGACUGUAACUCUGCAAUUUUUUUUAAAUCAAACUUUUACUCACUACUUUAGCAUUCAUUGGUGAUUCUUGCCUGAAGCAAUAACUACUCUGAUGGUGGCCAAAUAAUGAUUUUUCUUUUACACAUAU